CCUGGCAACGAUAGCGCGGUGGUCCCACCUGACCCCAUGCCGAACUCAGAAGUGAAACGCCGUAGCAGUGAAACGCCGUAGCGCCGAUGGUAGUGUGGGGUCUCCCCAUGUGAGAGUAGGGCAUUGCCAGGC
rnacentral:rRNA from 1 species